ensembl:lncRNA
GGCUGCACAGAUAGCCAGAUGGAAAAAGCAAGUUGCACUGGGGACUCCAGCUUCUGGGUGGGAGGAGGAAGAUCCCAACCAGGAACCACUGCAGAAGGGACCUCUGUGCUGACCUAGAGGGAGAGCUGGGGUGAGUGCAGCCGGGGAGAGGUGGGUGUGAGGCCUGGUCCUGUCUGAGAGGCAGGGGUGGGGCCGAUGCCCAGGAAGAGUGAACAUUCUGAGCACACUGCCUGCUCAGAGCUGGGACCGCAUGGGUAAGGCCAUUCGGUGAGUGUUUUCCAAAUGGGCAAGUCCCUGAGCUAUUAGGAAUUGGAGAACUUUGAAGCUGAAGAGCCUGUAGAGGCCGUGGCAUGAGACCCCCUCAUGUUGCAGAGGCUGAGCCCUCCAGUGUGGCAGGAGCAGCUCAAGCCAUACUGCUGGACCUGACCAGUAGCUUCCACCGGAAGUUCGUUUGGGGCAGUUUCGAGGUCCCUCACAGUGCAGACCCCAGGGCCCAGUGUGCAGCAUUUGUGCCAGAAAGGAGAGGAAUGGCCCUGACAUCCAGGCGCUUUUGUGAGUGUUGGCUGAGCACCUUGCCAGCCCUAGGACGCUGGAGUGAACGUGCGUGGCAGCAUCUGUCAGUCAUGUCCCUCCCCAGUGUGACUCCAGCCAUGGCCAUUCAUCACCUGCAUCCUUGGGCCCCAUGGGAACUAGCCCAACCCCUUAUCCAGCUGCCUUUGACUGCUGUGCCCCACACCCGCCUCUCGGGCCUCAGUGCCUUUGGCCAGAACAUUUGUCCAGUGCUGAAUGGGGUCCCCAGAAGAUAUGUGCAAAUCCUGAUCCCCAGGACCUGUGAGUGUUGACCCUCUUUGAUAAAAAAGAGUCUUUGCAGGUGUAAUGAAGGUAGGGUGCUUUGGUUUGAAUAUGGUUUGUUCUCCCGAAGUUAUGUUGAAAUUGAAUCUCCACUGUGAAGUAUUAGGAGGGUGGGACCAGAAUCUGACUGUGGUGUCAGAGGUGGGCCCUUUGGAAGGGGAUUAGGAUUAGAUGAAGGUCAUCUGGGUGGAGCCCUGGGUGUGAAUCUGGAUGGGUUUGUAGGAGAGAAGGGCCAGAUAGUCACCAAUACAUGUGUCUCUCACCAUGCAGGGCUGCCCCAGGCGUCAGCCAGCAAGAAGACAUCACCAAAUGAGGUCCUUUGGCCUUUCCCCAGACCCCU